rnacentral:rRNA from 1 species
UACGUAGGGUACGAGCGUUGUCCGGAAUUAUUGGGCGUAAAGAGCUCGUAGGUGGUUGGUCACGUCUGCUGUGGAAACGCAACGCUUAACGUUGCGCGUGCAGUGGGUACGGGCUGACUAGAGUGCAGUAGGGGAGUCUGGAAUUCCUGGUGUAGCGGUGAAAUGCGCAGAUAUCAGGAGGAACACCGGUGGCGAAGGCGGGACUCUGGGCUGUAACUGACACUGAGGAGCGAAAGCAUGGGGAGCGAACAGGAUUAGAUACCCUGGUAGUCCAUGCCGUAAACGUUGGGCACUAGGUGUGGGGGGCAUUCCACGUUCUCCGCGCCGUAGCUAACGCAUUAAGUGCCCCGCCUGGGGAGUACGGUCGCAAGGCUAAA